rnacentral:tRNA from 1 species
GCCAGUGUGGUGUAGUGGUUUGAGUGUUGGAAUAUGACUCUGGAGACCAGGGUUCAAAUCCCUGCUCAGCCU